GGAUUGUUUCUGUAUUUGUAAUUAAGUUUAUUUGUAUCAUUUUUUUCAGAUUCCACAUAUAAGUGAUAUCACAUGGUAUUUAUCUUUCUAAGUCUGACUUACCUAACUUAGAAUGGUAAUCUCUAGCCCAUACAUGUUGCUGAAAAUGACAUUAUUUCAUUCUUUUCUACGGGUAAUAUUCCACUGUAUGUAUAUACCACAACUUCUUUAUCUAUCACUCUGUGGUUGGAUAUUUAGGUUGCUUCCAUAUCCUAACUAUUAUAAACAGUGCUGCAGUGAACAUCAAGCUGCAUGUAUAUUUUCAAAUUACGGUUUUCUCUUUUUUCCAUUGUAUAUUCUUGCCUCAUCUGUCAAAGAUUAUUUAUUUAUUUAUUUAUUUAUUUAUUUAUUGUCUUUUUUCCCUUUUCUAGGGCCACUCCCACAGCAUAUGGAGGUUCCCAGAAUAGGGGUCUAAUCAGAGCUGUAGCUGCCGGCCCACGCCAGAGCCACAGCAUUGUGGGAUCCAAGCUGCGUCUGCGACCUACACCACAGCUCACAGCAACACUGGAUCCUAAAGCCACUAAGCAAGGCCAGGGACUGAACCGGCAACCUCAUUGUUCCUACUCAGAUUCGUUAACCACUGUGCCACAACGGAAACUCCUCAUUUGUCAAAGAUUAAUUCACUAUAGGUGAGUGGUUUAUUUCUGGGCUUUCUAUUCCGUAACAUUGAUCUAUAUUUCUGUUUUUAUGCCAGUACCAUGUUCUUUUGUUGACUGUAGCUUUGUAAUAUAGCUUGAAGUCAGGGAGCCUGAUUCUUCCAGUUCCAUUUUUCUUUCUCAGGAUUUGCUCUGGCUAUCCAGGGUCUUUUGUGUUUUUAUAUAAAUUAAAGGAAAAAAUUCUAGUUCUAUGAAAAUCUUCAUUAGUAAUUUGAUAGCAAUUGCACACAAUCUGUGGAUAGCUUUGGUAGUAUAGCCAUUUUGAUGAUAUUGAUUCUUCCAAUUCUUCUAUUUGUGCCAUCUUCAAUUUCUUUCAUCAGUGACUUAUGUUUUUCCUCCCUAGGUAGGUUUAUUCCAAGAUAUUUUAUCUUUUUGAUGUGAUGGUAAAUGGGAUUGUUUCCUUAAUUUAUCUUUCUGCUCUUUUGUUGUUAGUGUAUAAAAAUGCAAUGGGUUUCUGUAUAUUAAAUUUGUAUCCUUCAGCUUUACUGAAUUCACUCAUAAGCACUAGUAGUUUUCUGGGGAUGUUAUUAGAAUGUUCUAUGUUUAAAAUCAUGUCAUCUGCAAACAGUGACAGUUUUACUUGUUUUCCUGUUUAGAUUGCUUUUAUUUGUCUUCUUGUAUGAGGGCUACAGGUAAGAUGUCCAAAAUAUGUUGAAUAAAGUGCCAAGAGUAAGCAUGCUUGUCUUCUUCCUGAUCUUAGAGGAAAUGCUUUCAGCUUUUCACCAUUGAUAUGAUGUUAUCUGUGGUUUGGUCACAUAUGUCUUUAUUAUGUUGAGGUAGUUUCCCUCUACGGCACUUUCUCAGGAGAGCCUUUAUCAUACAUGGAUAUUGAAUUUUAUCAAAACCCUCUCUGCCUCUAUUGAGAUUAUCAUGUUUUUUUCUCAAUCUGUUACUAUGAUGUAUCACAUUAAGUUAUUUGUGGAUAUGGAAAAAUCCUUCCAUCCACAGGAUAAAUACCACUUGAUCAUGGUGAAUGAUAAUUUUUUUGUGGUUUUCUAGAUUUGGUUUUCUAGAAUUUUGUUGAGGGUUUCUGCAUCUAUGUUCAUCAGUAAUACUGGCCUGUAAUUUUCUUUUCUGUGAUAUCUUUAUCUGCUUUUGGUAUCAGGGUCUCAGAAUGAGUUUCAAAGUGUUCAUUCUGCUGCAAUGUUUUGGAACAGUUUCAGAAGGAUAGGUGUUACUCUGCCAUCAUUUUAAAAAAAAAGUUAGUACCUGAAACAAAGCUAGACAUAUAAAAGGUAUAGAUUGAAUGUUUCUUGGAAGUAUAAAUGAGCAGUAAAUGACAAGAGGUCUUAGAAAAAGAAGCUAAGUGGAAAUCUUCUAAUGAUAUCAGCUUGUUAUUUUAGAUAAAUUUUUAAGUGUUUCUCUGAUUCAAAUAACUAUUUACUGGAUCAAAUGGUAGUUCUAUGUUUAGUUUUCUGAGGAAUCUCCAUACUGCUUUCCACAGUGGUUGCACCAAUUUACAAUCCCACCAACAGUGUAUUAGGGUUCCUUUUUCUCCACACCCUCUCCAGCACUUAUUGCUUGUAGACUUUUGGAUGAUGGCCAUUCUGGCUGGUACAAGGUGGUACCUCAGAGUGGUUUUGAUGUGCAUUUCUCUAAUAAUGAGUGAUGUUGAACAUCUUCUCAUGUAUUUCUCGGCCAUCUGUAUGUCUUCUUUGGAGAACUGUCUGUUUAGAUCUUCUGCCGACUUUUUGAUAGAGUUGUUUGCUUUUUUUGGUAUGGAGCUGUGGAAGGUGUCUAUAAAUUUUGGAGAUUAAUCCCUUGUCAGUCAAUUCACUUGGAAAGAUUUUCUCCCAUUCUGUGGGUUGUCUUUUAAUUUCAUCUAGGGUUUCCUUUGCUAUGAAGAAACUUUUAAGUUUGAUUAGGUCCCAUUUGUUUAUUUCUGUUUUUACUGUCAUUACUCUAAGAGGUGGAUCUGAGAAGAUGUUGUGUCAUUUAUGUCAGAGAGUGUUUGGCCUAUGUUUUCCUCUAGGAGUUUGAUAGUGUCUGUUCUAUAUAUCUAGGUCUUUAAUCCAUUUGGAGUUUAUUUUUGUGUAUGGUGUUAGGGAGUGUUCUAAUUUCAUUCUUUUCCAUGUGGCUGUCCAGUUUUCCCAGCACCACUUACUGAACAAGCUCUCUGUUCUCCAUUGUAUAUUCCUGCCUCUUUUGUCAUAGAUUAGUUGGCUGUAGGUGUGUGGGUUUAAUGUUGGGCUUUCUAUCCUGUUCCACUGAUCUAUAUUUCUGUCUUUGUGCCAGUACCAUACAGUUUUGAUGAUUGUUGCUUUGGAGUAUAGUCUGAAGUCCGGGUGCCUGAUUCCUCCAGCUUCAUUUCUCUUUUUCAGGAUGGCUUUGGCUAUUCUGGGUCUUCUGUGCUUCCAAACAAACUUUAAAAUAUUUUGUUCUUUUUACUUUUGUUUUGUUCUUUUACUUUUCUAAGGAUUUGUCCAUUUCUUCUAGGUUUUCUGUUUUAUUGGCAUAUAGUCUUUUUUCUCUUUCAUUGUUAGUGUAUAGAAAUGCCGUUGAUUUCUGUGUAUUGAUUUUGUAUCCUGCGACUUUGCCAAAUCCAUGGAUGAGCUCUAACAGUUUUCUGGUAGAGUCUUUAGAAUUCUCUACAUAUAGUACCAUGUCACCUGCAAAUAGGGAUAGUUUUACUUCUUCCUUUCCUAUUUGGAUUCCUUUUAUUUCUUUUAUUUCUCUGAUUGCUGUGGCUAGGACUUCCAGAACUAUGUUGAAGAGUAGUGGUGAGAGCAGAUAUCCUUGUCUUGUUCCUGAUCUCAGUGGGAAUUCCUUCAGCUUUUCACCAUUGAGAAUGAUGUUAGUUAUGGGUUCGUCAUAUAUGGCGUUUAUCAUGUUGAGGUAGGUUCCCGCUAUGCCCAGUUUCUGAAGGGUUUUUAUCAGCAAUGGGUGUUGGAUUUUGUCAAAGGUUUUUUCCACAUCUAUUGAGAGGAUCAUAUGGUUUUUAUUCUUCAGUUUGUUAAUGUGGUGUA
rnacentral:lncRNA from 1 species